rnacentral:rRNA from 1 species
GAGACUCUGUGCGCGUGCAUAUCAAUAAGCGGAGGAAAAGAAACUAACUAGGAUUCCCUUAGUAACGGCGAGUGAAGCGGGAAGAGCUCAAAUCUGAAAUCUUCAAGGUUCUACCUUGACGAAUUGUAGUUUAAAGAAGUGUUUUCUGUUAGUGGAGUGGCAAAAGUUCUCUGGAAUAGGACAUCAUAGAGGGUGAGAAUCCCGUAUUUGGUCAUUCCUUCUAGCUUUGUGAUACACUUUCAAAGAGUCGGAUUGUUUGGGAAUGCAGUCCAAAAUGGGUGGUAAAUUUCAUCUAAAGCUAAAUAUUGGCGAGAGACCGAUAGCGAACAAGUACCGUGAGGGAAAGAUGAAAAGAACUUUGAAAAGAGAGUUAAACAGUACGUGAAAUUGUCAAAAGGGAAGCGUUUGACACCAGUGUUGUUUUUCCGAAAAUCAAUUAUAAAUGUUUUGUUUCUGAGGAGUGAUGACUUCAUCGGCUUCCUUCUCUCUUCACGAAACUUUUGUAAUGCACUUUUCGGUUAACAAGUCAACAUCAAUUUCUUUUGUUGUAAAAGAGUAUUCGGAAGGUGGCUUUCUUUUCGGAGAAAGUGUUUAUAGCCCUAUACUUCUACAAUCGGAGAGAUUGAGGUCUGCAGCGUAGAUCCUUCGGGGUUAGAUACAUUUGUGCUAAGUUAUAGCUUUUCAUAGACAACUUGUUGACUAUGUUUAGUCUUGUAGCUUACUCGCUUAUGCUAUUUUACCUACGCUUAGGAUGUUGACAGCAGUAUAGACUGU